rnacentral:rRNA from 1 species
UACGUAGGGUGCGAGCGUUGUCCGGAAUUAUUGGGCGUAAAGAGCUCGUAGGCGGUGUGUCACGUCGGCCGUGAAAACCUGCAGCUUAACUGUGGCGUGCGGUCGAUACGGGCAUCACUGGAGUUCGGCAGGGGAGACUGGAAUUCCUGGUGUAGCGGUGAAAUGCGCAGAUAUCAGGAGGAACACCGGUGGCGAAGGCGGGUCUCUUGGGGCCGAUACUGACGCUGGAGGAGCGAAAAGCCGUGGGGGAGCGAACAGG